GAUGAAGAACGUAGCGAAAUGCGAUAAGUAAUGUGAAUUGCAGAAUUCAGUCAAUCAUCGAAUCUUUGAACGCACAUUGCGCCCGCCAGCAUUCUGGCGGGCAUGCCUGUUCGAGCGUCAUUUCAACCCUCGAGCCCCCCCGGGGGCCUCGGUGUUGGGGGACGGCACACCAGCCGCCCCCGAAAUGCAGUGGCGACCCCGCCGCAGCCUCCCCUGCGUAGUAGCACACACCUCGCACCGGAGCGCGGAGGCGGUCACGCCGUAAAACGCCCAACUUUCUUAGAGUUGACCUCGGAUCAGGUAGGAAUACCCGCUGAACUUAAGCAUAUCAAUAAGCGGAGGA
rnacentral:misc_RNA from 1 species